rnacentral:rRNA from 1 species
CCUGCUCAAUGAACUUAAAUAGCCGCUAUUUAUUAGUGCUAAGGUAGCAUAAUCAUUUGUCUUUUAAUUAAAGAAUAGAAUGAAUGGAAUAACGAAUAUAAAACUUUAUUGUUUAUAUUAUAUUAAAUUAAUAUAAAAGUAAAAAAGCUUUUAAUUUAAGAAAAGACGACAAGACCCUUUAGAACUUAACUAAAAGUUAAACUGGGGUGGUAAUUUAUAAAAACUAAUUAAAUAACUCAAACAACUAAAUAUAUAUAUAUAUACAAGUUACCUAAGGGAUAACAGCACAAUAAAAAUUAAGAGAUCUUAUCUAAAUUUUUGAUUAUGACCUCGAUGUUGAAUUACUAAACAAUUAAAAGCAAAUUUUUAAAUAGUAAGUCUGUUCGACUUUUUAAUAAGUACAU